rnacentral:rRNA from 1 species
UACGUAGGGUGCAAGCGUUGUCCGGAAUUAUUGGGCGUAAAGAGCUCGUAGGCGGUCUGUCGCGUCGGAUGUGAAAACCCAGGGCUCAACCCUGGGCCUGCAUUCGAUACGGGCAGACUAGAGUUCGGUAGGGGAGACUGGAAUUCCUGGUGUAGCGGUGAAAUGCGCAGAUAUCAGGAGGAACACCGGUGGCGAAGGCGGUCUCUGGCCGAAACUGACGCUGAGGCGCGAAAGCCAGGGGAGCAAACGGG